GAGUUGUGCUCCUUUAGCAGUAUUAGCAAGAAGAAAAUUCUUAAAGUGAAGAUAUGUAUUUCUACUAUCAACUUAUAAAAUGGGAAAAAUAUUUUUCCUUAAAACUAAUAGCUAUCAUGUAAUAUAUUUUUAUAGAUCUCAAAAUAUUGCUGGAAAAUACAUAUUUAUACAACCCUUGCAACUCUUUGAUUUCAGUAGUUACUUUAUUUAUAUCUGGAAGAUAAUAGCGUCUCUGAGAGUUUAAGCAACUUGCCCUACGGUACUUAACUAGGAAGGGGAAGAUGCUUUUACCACACUGCUACUCUAUGUAUUUCAUAUCACUGAAAUUGAACACAAUCUCUCAAAACUUUUACAAUCAGUUAGAUCCAAGUUUUGUGAAUGAAAGAUAUCAGGAUGGUGUUUGCAAUAGUUAAAAACAAAAUGAAGAGAGUUUCUCUUGUGGCUAAGCUGGUUAAGUACCCAACACAGUGUCUUUGAGAUGUGGGUUCAAUCUUUGGCCUUGCUCAGUGUGUUAAGGAUCCAGCAUUGCCUCAAGCUGCAGUGUAGUUCUCAGAUGCAGCUCAGAUCAUGUGUUGCUGUGACUGUGCCAUAGUCCAUUGUCCAGCAGCUGCAGCUCUGAUUUGACCCCUAGCCCUGGAACUUCCAUAUGCUGUGAGUGUGGCUGUUAAAAAAAAAAAACAACAACAGACUUUUCCUCCCUGCUAUGGUUCUGAAUUAUUGUUGUAAAAUUCAAAAUUUUUUGGCCAUUUGUUAUGUUUCUAGAAUUAAUGCAAAAUUUACCAGAACAAAAUUAUACUACUCAUUUUAAUACUGAAAUAUAAUUUUUUUCUUAAAAAGUUAAAAUAUUUUCUCUAAUAUUUUAUAGUCAAUUCAUAUUUUUAUUAUUUUUACUACAUAAUUAUACAAAAGGUCAUUGUCUUAUUUCAAACAUGAAAUUUACUACUAAUAGAGUAAAACAAAUUAUUUAUAAUAAAUCAUUUUUUAUUUAAGGAUGACAGUAUUGAUAAUUUGAAGUUAAAGGAAUUCUAACCUCUUUCCUGAUCUAUUGAUUUUUGGAAUGCUAUUCGAAAAUUCCCUUAUAAUUAUUGAAAUUUAAUCCAAAAUUUUCCACUUUGUUUUUUCCCAAAAGUCUAAUUAAAUAAGCUGCAUUCAGAUAUAUAGCAUUUUUUAUUGCUUUGUUGGUCUAUUUUAUAUGUCCUUAUAAAUUAAAAAAACAUUGAGUAUUAUUUGCACAGUCUGUUGGAACUUAUAUUGAAGUUCUAAGGCACAUCCUUUAUUUCAAUGGAAUUUUUGCUUGAGAAUUAUAGAAACAUUCCUAUUAGUAUCAUUAUACAAUUAGGUCAUAGAACAGUAGGCUUUUUACUUAUUUUUUUAAUAUGAGUAUGAGGACUUACAUUUGUAAAACAUUUGUUACAUUAAGGGACCUAUUUGGCACAUGUUUCUUUUCAUUUCAUACCAUUAUUGAUGUAAAAUUUAAUGUUGGAAGAUUCCUAAUUCAUUUGUUGAUAAAUAGGAGACCAGCUUUGCUCUCUAUAGGAUUACUGUGUUUUAUCUUUUCUUCAUUAAAUUGUCAGGGCUGCUAUCCUCAAUCACGAGUACAUCCUGUACAUUAAUGUACAAUAAUGAUUGGUGAUAUAAAAUUGCACUGGAGAGCAUUUCAAUUUUUGAACUUCCUGGUUUUAGGUUUUAGUUAAUUAUACUAUUAUUGAUGUGUAUGUGGGGAUGUCAUUAAUAUCUAUCUCCCAAAUGCCUCAUUUACUGACUGAUAAAAGACAAGGCAUUCAGGAUGGUAUGUUAAGUCUCCAGGCAAAAACAACACUAUAGAGUGAAUUAUAAUAGAAUUAUUAUUAUAUUUGGGUUUUCUUUAUUCAAAUCAUUAGUGGUAAGCUUUGGAGAUGAUGGCAGGACCGUAUAUUCUUGGCCAAUUAUUCUAUCAAUGUACACCCCAGCCAUACUUAUGAUAUUAUAGAAUUACAAAACAGAAUGAGAGCUUCUCUUCAAACACCCUCAUUUUAGAGAGGCAUAAAUUGUAGUCCAGAAAGAUUAAAGAAUUUGUGAUAUCAUAAAGAUACUGACAUAUCUGGAGAUAAGAAGAAAUGAGACCUGACCUUCAGUACAUAAAUUUGGGAGAAUUCAAGCUUUUCCACUUAUUGGCUAUGUGAUAUUUGGCAAUUUUUGUAACCUAUAUGAUUUUCAUUUGUUCUGUGUUUAUAAUGACUACUUCAUAGGUUUGUGUGAUAGGAAAUGGCAGAUAUACAGUAAUCAUUGAAUUUCCUUCCUUUUAUUGUUUCAGAGAAACCCACCAUCAGAUCCAUCAGAUCUUAACAAUUAUUCUUAAUUAUAGUAUAUUAGAAAUAUUGUCUUUAUGAUUAUAGGUUAGUAAAUUUUAUUUAAAAUCAUCCUUUUUAAUCACAAAGCUAUUUAAAAAAAACAUUGUAUUUGGUGGUUGAGCAAAGGGAAGAGCAGUAAAACAUAAAGUUUGUUUCACUCUCACUGAAUCAGAAAUACACUGAAGCUAGAAAUACCUCGGUUUUUUAUUUCCUUGGGUAGAGGAUUCUUCAUAAUUUUUCCCCCUCUUUCUAUUGCAUUUGCAGGAAAAAGUGAAAAAUAAGUGCCAAUUUAUUUGAAACCUAUGAGCUCCUUUUGCCUCUUCUCUAUUUAGUCUUGCAAGCUCAGGCUCCAUGUGACCCUAUUAUCCUAGUAUCUGCCCCCACCACUGAGAACAAACUUAGUCCUGUAUAUGAUAUUGGUAAGAUAUUUCAAAGGUGUCAGAAUUCAGUUGUUUGUUGACUUGAAUUGCUUUUAUAGUUUAGAGUAUAGAAUGUAAUUGUUGAAAUCAUUUAUGUGAAAUAGAACUUUAAAUCUUGUGGCUAUUCUAAAAUUAAAAUGUGUCAAACCAUAUUCAUUUCUAUCCUUGUCUAUUCUAAAAGAGAAAUUAAGAAGUGAAUCUGAUAUUUUAAAAUGCCAGACAAGAACAGUUAAACUUACUAUAGACCUGUGGGUUAUUGAGACAAAUAUUUAGUUUGAGGCACCAUAGUCUUAGGAAUAGGGUUGUUACAGCAACUACCCAGCAGCCCUGUGCCACAGCAUAUCAGCUCUGGUGACAGCCCUGUGGCUGUAGCUACUAACUCCAGCAGCUCUGUGGCUUCAGUAUAUCAGCUCUUUUACCCAGCAAGAAACCAGGUGAGCACUAGGAGAGGUGGAGAACUCAGGUUUAUUACGCUGGCAGGCUCAGAGGAGAUCGAUCUCCAGAGUCUGAGCCCUGAAGAAGGGUUUCACAAGGCUUUUAUGGGCUACCUCUUCCGGGUCCAUGCUUGGCUAGUUGGACUGGAGUGAGUGACGUCAGGCAAGGCAGUAGAUGCGGAAACAAAUUUACAGAAGCAGAUGUGUGGGGGAGGGGUGGUUGGGGCAGUUGGCUAGACUUUGUUUAGUCGUCAUGGCCAGGGUCUCUCCCUUCUACAUUUUUAUUGGAACAUUUUCUCCUACAGGGUUACCUAAGAACAGUGUGCCAGCAAAUUCUUCCAAAUAAGAGGAAAAUGGAUGAUACCCUGAUUUUUAAAGAUAUGUUAAAUCUUUUUUCAAAAUGUAUUUGACAUAAAAGAUUAGUAUAAUUAUUAAUUGAUCAGGAGUAUACAACUUUUUGUUUUAGAAAAUAAUUAUAGGCAAACUAUCUGGAAUAGAAGUUCAUUAAUGAUAGGUUAGUUAUGAGUAAUAAAAUUUAUUAGGAUAGCUUAUAAAACAGUUAUUUAUAAUCCCUCAAUGGAUUACUUGCAUAACAGCAGCAAAAUUUCUUAAUUGCUUAAUAAUUAUUCAUAUUUUUCUAACUUUUAUGAGGUUACUAUAUAGUAAUUGAUGGCUGGCCAAACAUUGUCAUAUCAUGUUCAAAUCAUCUCUUUGAAUUGACACUACAUUUAUCCUCAUUUCGUAGUUGAGAUAACUGAGCAUCAGAAAGAUAAAAUACAUUUUUCUAAGGCUACUUAAGUCAACAUUUGAAUCCAGUUUUGUUUUUUAUUUCCAAGUCUUUAGUUUUGUAUUAUACCUUAAUAGCAUAAAUAAGAAAUGCUGGGAUAAUGUGAAAAGAGAAGUGAAUUGAGAAUUCAAAAUGUGAAUCUUUGUCCUGAUUUUAUCAUUAUUCUGAUUUUAUAAUUGACUCAGUGUGGAAUUAAGAUAAGAACUUUGAAUUUACUGAAGCCCAGAAAACUUAACUUGCUCGACUCCACUAUUUAGGAUUUAAUAGACUUUAUAUGUACAUGGUACAUUAAAAGAGAAUACUAUUAAAAGAGAGUAUUACUACAAAUCAAGUAAAAUAAAAAGAUUUGAAACAAAUGAAUUAUAUUUGAAAAAUUUUGAAAGAAAUAUAGCUGAGCAGUACAAAAAGAGCCAUAUUGGGGAUCAAAGAAACAUUCUUUUGUUAUAUUUGGGUGACCAAACCAAUUUAUCUCCCUAGUUUUUUGUUUUUCCACCAUAUUUUCCCAGAAAAUAGAUAGCUACCAUUUUGGUUCACAUUUCUUGAUUCUGUCUGCCUUCUCAAUGUUUUCAAUCUCCUCUAUCUCUUCUAUCUCUUCUUUGGACCUGGAUCUUUCUAGAUAUAAAUACAUGGAAUUUUAAAAUAUUGAAAUAAUUUAUUUGAAAUAGAACUUUAAAUCUUUGGCUAUUCCAAAAGUAACAUAUUAUAUGUGUCAAACCAUAUUCAUUUCUAUCCUUGUCUAAUUCUAAAUGAGAAAUUUAAGAAGUGAAUCUGAUAAAAAGAUGGAAAAUUUUAGUUGAAAUAUCAACAGCAAUGUUAUGUCUAGAAUCAGGCUCAGUACAUAUAUUGAUAAACAACUUUUAGUUCUGAAUGUUACCAUAUAGGUCUCCACAGUGUCAUGAUAUCCUGGUCAUCUAUUUGCUUGGGUGCUUAUAUUGAAAUUCUUUCUCUGUCUUCAUGCCUCACUGAGUGACCCCAGGGCUUUCUGAGUGUCCUCGCAUUACUUCCUACUCAGAGUAUUUUCCAUCACAGCCCAGGGUAAGCAUUGGCAUGCGCUUCUCAAGUGCUUGUUAAAAAUGCAGAAUCAUAAGACCUCCAGACUUACUGAAUCAGAACAAUAUCUCCAGAUGUUUCCAUUCACAUUUAUUUAUUUAUUUUUAAUAUUAUUAAUCACAAUCCAUACUUUAUUUAAUUUACAGGAGAUCCUGCUGAGUAGCAUUGAGAACUAUGUCUAGAUACUCAUAUUUCAACAGAACAAAGGGUGGGGGAAAAAUGUAUACAUGUAAGAAUAACUUGAUCCCCAUGCUGUACAGUGGGAAAAAAAAUUAAAAUAAAUAAAUAAAUAAAAAAAAAAAGAAGAGGACACCAGGGCUUGCUCUCUCUCUACCAUAUGAAGACACAGCCUGCAUUCCAUUCACAUUUAAAUUUGAGAACCACUCUUUGCUCUUCAUCAUCUCAAAGGCAGACAUUCUUUCAUUAGAGCUCCCUUUGUUCUAAGUCCUCCAUGUCCUGAUUAUAUGGUUGUUAUUUUUGAAAAUAUGUCUUUAGUUCCCAUACAUGGUGGUUGUUCUGAUUGGUAUUACAGAAAAUAAAAGUGGAUCGGAGAUAGAGCUGUUAAGAGACUGGAAUAGACACUAAGUGCCCUCAUGUGCUAAACAUAUGGUCCCUUUUGGAUGUUCCAUGUAACUCCUACAGGUAGGCCAUGAAAGAGUUGCUUUUUAGAGUGAAGUCUUUACUGCCACUGUAACCCCAUAUUCAUUCACUCCUCCAUUUUCCUUAGCACAGUAGAAUUAUACCUCAUAUAUUUUUGGGGUGCUGAAUGCUAUGCAGCUAAACCCUAUGAAGGUAACAAUAAUUGAUUAUAAAUUUUAAAAUAGUAGGAAUUGAAAACUGUGAAUUUGUUCAUGAGCAAUUAGCGAAUAUCUUGAGAUUUUUAAGCUAUUUCAUUACAGUCCUACAGAUGAACUUUUAAAAGAUUUGAUAAACACCAAAUUCUAAAAAGUAAGGCCUCUUCAAUUUUUAAAUGAGCAUUUCAUCAGCUUUUCUUGCUUGAAUGCAAAUGAUCUAAUCUAGAUAGCCUAUGGAAGUCUGAAAGCUGUUU
rnacentral:lncRNA from 1 species